AGAAAACCCAAAAAAAGUGAAGAUUACGGCCAAAAGUGCUCAACAAAAGCGUUCCCGGAAGGCGGGGGCGGAGCCCCAAGAACGUCAGAAAAAACAGCAAAGUGCGGCCAAAACGGUGAACGAUUCUGCGCUUAAACUGAAGCUGGACGAAAAGCUUCAGAAAUCCGGAAUAAGCCUGAGCCUUUCCCUAGAUGACAAUUGAAAUUCACCAAAAUUCAUUAAUCUGUCGAUUGACUCGUUUUUCAAAGUAUUUGGUUAUCCC